CUCCGUUUCAUAAUGUAAUUCAUUCUUGCAUUUCUCACAUUCAUAUUGAUUUAAUGAAUCUAGAUAGAUAUAUAUGUCUAGAUUUAUCAACAUCAAUAUGAAUGUGGGAAAUGCUAGAAUGACUUACAUUGUGAAAAAG
rnacentral:misc_RNA from 1 species